rnacentral:rRNA from 1 species
GAUGAACGCUGGCGGCGUGCCUAAUACAUGCAAGUCGAGCGAACAGACGAGGAGCUUGCUCCUCUGACGUUAGCGGCGGACGGGUGAGUAACACGUGGAUAACCUACCUAUAAGACUGGGAUAACUUCGGGAAACCGGAGCUAAUACCGGAUAAUAUAUUGAACCGCAUGGUUCAAUAGUGAAAGACGGUUUUGCUGUCACUUAUAGAUGGAUCCGCGCCGCAUUAGCUAGUUGGUAAGGUAACGGCUUACCAAGGCAACGAUGCGUAGCCGACCUGAGAGGGUGAUCGGCCACACUGGAACUGAGACACGGUCCAGACUCCUACGGGAGGCAGCAGUAGGGAAUCUUCCGCAAUGGGCGAAAGCCUGACGGAGCAACGCCGCGUGAGUGAUGAAGGUCUUCGGAUCGUAAAACUCUGUUACUAGGGAAGAACAAAUGUGUAGGUAACUAUGCACGUCUUGACGGUACCUAAGCAGAAAGCCACGGCUAACUACGU